CUGGCAGCAUUAAUCGCGUUGUGGAAUCGGGCAGCGGCACGCCUCAUUUGCAAAUUGUCCUUGUCCCUCAAACCCGAGAGCCGUCCUAGUCCAACCGCCUCCCUUCUCCGACGCCCUUCUCGCCGCUGCGCCGCCGAUCCUCCUCUCAGGCCGCGGCCUUCUCCCAGCAAGACCCCGCUAUCGUCGGCUGUCUGCCCAUGCUCACAGAGUCUAUUCCGCGCCGCAGGCGCUGCAUGCCCUCGCUCAGGCUCUUCCCCUCCGAGUCUCGUCCUCCUUCUCUCCAGUCUCCCUCCUUCCUCCAGCGCGCACGCCGCCGGUCCCCGGUCCCCGUUAGUCCUCCUCCAUCUCCUUUUCUCCCUGCCGAGCCUUCAUCCGUCGGCUUAUCGGAUGGCAGUGGCGCGCAGUUACCAGGGCGAUUUGAAGAGGUGCCACCUUAUCCCGUUGAGCCGUCGCCUCCUCCUCCCACUGCACGGAUCCGCUCACAACGCCGUCGUCCCUGCAUCUGUUGAGGCGUCGCCACUCGUACGGAAUCAGUCGUACACACAAGUGGUAUGUGGAGCCGCUCGACAUGUGUUCGACGAAAUGCCAGCUUUUGUAGCGGAUCUCCUGCUACUUUGUCAAGCGUUGCGGAGAGGAUACGAUGGAUUUGCUGCGGUGGCAUGACUCUGGCCAUGACUAGGGCCCAGCUCCGCAGGCCGAAACCCUCAGUUGAUCAGCACGACCUUGGCAGAAUAGGCGUAGCCAGCUCAACACCUCUGGGGACGUGCAACGGCACCUCCGUUGACCUGGCAGCGCCUACACGGAAUGGCAGUUUGGUUUGUUGACCUAGCUGGGAACACUGGUACUACGUGUGUAUAAUGAAGAUGUUUUCUCCACUGUAUAGGUAUUCAAGGAUUGAGGCUCGUCCCUAGAUGGUGGGUACAACUCCAAGGAGCAAGGGUUGGCUGGCCAUCUCACCAGGGCUGAGAGGGACACUAGCUUGGGGUUUAGGAUUCGAUCUUUACCUGUUUAUUCUCAUUUCUUGCAUAAUCCAUAUGGGGUUUAUAGUGUCCCUUCUUUAGGGAAGACUCGACUUGUCUCAUGUCCCCCUGCUCACCAGCAAAAUUGUUCAGCCGAACGUAAGCAUCGACACAUUGUUGAUGUAGGUCUCUCGCUACUCGCCCAAGCUUCCAUGCCCUUGAAGUUUGGCGAUCAGGCCUUUGUGGCAGCCAUCUACCUCAUGAAUUGUCUCCUUAGCCGUGUCAUCCAUAACACCACUCCGAUUGACUGUCUCCUCAAAGAAAAAACCGAUUAUGGCUUUCUCAAAGUGCUCUAGUGUGCAUGUUCGCCUAAUUUACGCCCCUAUAACUCUCAGAAACUUGCAUUUCAUUCUACUCGGUGUACCUUGGGUAUAGUACGUUCCACAAAGGCUACAAGUGCCUUGAUAUUUCUACGGAUCAAGUUUAUAUUUCUCA